UACGUAGGGGGCAAGCGUUGUCCGGAAUCAUUGGGCGUAAAGAGUACGUAGGCGGUUAGACAAGCGCAAGGUGAAAGGCAUGGGCUUAACCGAUGUGAGCCUUGCGAACUGUCAGACUUGAGUGCGGGAGAGGAAAGCGGAAUUCCUGGUGUAGCGGUGAAAUGCGUAGAUAUCAGGAGGAAUACCGGUGGCGAAGGCGGCUUUCUGGACCGUAACUGACGCUGAGGUACGAAAGCGUGGGGAGC
rnacentral:rRNA from 1 species